AGUUAUGGCGGCUGUGCGCUGGAGACCUUCGGGGUCUGCCGGGUUUCCUUUGCCCCGGUCUUGCACACCUGCGUACAGCUGCCACCCUC
rnacentral:antisense_RNA from 10 species